AUUGAACGCUGGCGGCAGGCAUAACACAUGCAAGUAGAACGAGUGGCGGACGGGUGAGUAAUGUAUGGGAAAAUGCCUGAGGGAGGGGGAUAACUACUGGAAACGGUAGCUAAUACGGCAUACAAUCAGGUGUGCCCAGAUGGGAUUAGCGAGGUGGUGGGGUAAAGGCUCACCACGGGGACGAUCCCGAGCUGGUCUGAGAGGAUGCCCAGCCCCUCGGGAACUGAGACACUGUCCAGACCCCUACGGGAGGCAUCACUGUGAAAUAUUGCACAAUGGGCCCAACCCUGAUGCAGCCAUUCCGCGUGUAUUAAGACGGCUUUCGGGUUGUAAAGUACUUUCCGCGGGGAGUCGUUACCCGCAGAAGAAGCACCGGCUAACUCCGUGCCAGCCGCCGCGGUAGUAC
rnacentral:rRNA from 1 species